rnacentral:misc_RNA from 1 species
GUUCAACUGAUGUCGUGUUAAUUAGUUCAGCUAGUUAACCCGUGGUUUCUACAGAAGAGAAGUUGAAACCAUCCUCAAACGGAAAUAAUUGAGGUAUGCUGAACCAAAUGGUUCAGAUAGCCAGAUUUUUGGAUUUGGUUCUUUGAUAACAGGUUUGCAGUUUUGUUUGCUCACCCACACCUAAUCAAAACCAUUCUAUGUCAGUAACAGCCUUUGAAAUUCCAUUAUAAAAUGGCCAUUAUGUAACCAUUUUAUAAAACCAACCCUGAUUCCGUGAAAAAACCAAUGACCUUUAAAUGUUGACCUGUAUCAUUUUGCUUCCUUAUUUU